rnacentral:miRNA from 1 species
UUCUCUCUCUCUCUCUCUCUCUCUCUCUCUCUCUGUGUGUGUGUGUAUGUAUGUGUGUGUGUGUGUGUGUGUGAGAGAGAGAGAGAGAGAGAGAGAGAG